GAUGAACGCCGGCGGUGUGCCUAAUACAUGCAAGUCGAGCGCACUGGCCCAACUGAUAUGACGUGCUUGCACUGAUUUGACGAUGGAUCAUCAGUGAGCGGCGGACGGGUGAGUAACACGUGGGCAACCUGCCCUGGAGCGGGGGAUAACAUUUGGAAACAGAUGCUAAUACCGCAUAAUAAUCAAAACCACAUGGUUUUGAUUUCAAAGAUGGUUUCGGCUAUCACUCCAGGAUGGGCCCGCGGUGCAUUAGCUAGUUGGUAAGGUAACGGCUUACCAAGGCGAUGAUGCAUAGCCGAGUUGAGAGACUGAUCGGCCACAAUGGAACUGAGACACGGUCCAUACUCCUACGGAGGCAGCAGUAGGGAAUCUUCCACAAUGGGCGCAAGCCUGAUGGAGCAACACCGCGUG
rnacentral:rRNA from 1 species